rnacentral:tRNA from 1 species
GGACGGUUAGCUCAGCGGUAGAGCGCUUCGUUUACAUCGAAGAUGUCAGGGGUUCAAAUCCCUUACCGUCCA